rnacentral:lncRNA from 1 species
GGGAGGAGGGGAGCAGGCCGGCGCGGGAGCGUGAGGUCAGCAGGGGCCGUGGGCGGUGGACGCCGGCGUGUCUUGGGUUCCGAGGGACCCAGCUGUCGGAAUGGACACGCUUCACCACGAUGGGCCUGCACCGGGUCGGAGGACCGCUCCGGGACAGGGGGAUGCACCAGGUCCAGAGAACGCAUGGGAUCACAGGGCUGCACCGGGUCAGGGGGCUGCACCGAGACCGGAGGAAGCAUCAGUUUCAAAGGAGUGUGGGGAACCUACAUCUCUUCAGAGUGGACUGUGAAAAGAAUAUUAAGUGAAGUGGAAAAAAGGCAUCCACGUUCAUCUGAAUAAAGACUGCCUCUUCAGCCACAGCUAAGAUGCCUGUAAUAGGAGUGAGAGCCGCCUCUGUUGCAGGAAGCCCCUGGGAUUUCAGAGCUGCUUGUAACUGCAGCCUAACACAGCCUCAGCAGACCGAUACGUCGUCGUGUCGCCAAAACAGAGCAGCACAAAUGACAGUAACCAUCACACACUGAUCUGCAGAUAAAGAGGGAAGCUAUUUUUUUUCUCACCGUUUCUGUCUGAUUUGGAAACCAAGCAGUGGCUGGUUAGUAAUAUCAUUUUGUUUCCAUUCCACUGUGUGUGACUGUCAUCCAAUACCUGUGUACUCUCAGCUUCCAUAAAUUCGGUAAAUUGUAUUGGAUUAAUAGCUGGAUGGAACACGGCCAGGAAACCAGUGUGUUAAAGGAGAAAAUGUUGGUUAUUCUAUUUAUAUUCAUUUUACCGUUGAGCCAGCCAAUGAAACUGAGUUAUGGAUGGAUGUCAGAGUACAAGGAACCAAUUUUCAGUUUGAACAAUUCCACUUUAUUUCUUCAGAAGUAGCACACAGGAGGAAGAACACAGUAACAACAAUUGGCUUUUCAACGCUGCGUGUUUGCACUAAGAUUUUAUCAUUGAGCAUUUUAAGAGAGGAUCAUGCUGAAAAUGAAAUCGUCUGAUACUUUGGGGGAUUCUGAGCUGAUGGAUGACGGUGUGGGCUGGGGGUCUCCUGCCUGGGUAAUGGGUGCUGCUGCACGCAGCCCCCAGCCCCACGCGUUUCCAUCAUCACCACUGCCUGCUCACAGCUCUCAGGAAGGAUUCCAGGCGCCUUUCAUCGUUCCUGUAGUGAACACACACCACUCAAAAUACCAGUAAUUAAAUCUCUCUCAGACGAAAUGCACAGGACUUGACGGCUUAAGCAUUUUACAUGGGGAGAGAAGAACAGACAUGGAAAGCAACCUGAGAAUGGCAGCUGUGUGAAGGAGCCGCCUUCGGAGGGCUGGUGCUGAGAGAAGCCGCCUUCGGAGGGCUGGUGCUGAGACAUCCUUUGGGUGGUUUUGUCGAGAUCGAGAGGAAUAAGGGACGUUUCUAUAAUGCCUGUUUGAUUCAGAGUGGACAAAGGGAGAAGCUCUGCGUGAAUGUGCCCUGCUCACUGAUUCGGAUUGGGCAGCACAGCUGGGAAGCCAGGCGGUGCCUGGGAAUGCUGCUGUCACCGUCACCGUGCUGGUGGACCCUCAUAGCCAAGGUGACUGGAAGGCUGGGCUCACUUUCAAAGAUCCUUACCUGUAAGCUUCCCCGUUAUAAUUGUUUGACAGGCAGCCUCCUUUCACUCAUUCAUUCAAGUCCAUUUAGUGCAGAUUGACACACGCCAGGUGCACUUCCUAGGGGCCGGACAUGAACACACAGUGUGACCAAAAUCACAAAAUCCCUGCACCCACGCGGCUCACCUUCCAGUGGGAGAGAGAGAGAAAAUAAAAACAUACACAAAAGCACAGUAUAUCGAUGUGACCACUAGUAUGGAGAAAUAAAGAAAGAAUGGGGUAUUGAGAAUCCUGGAGGAAGGGGUUCAGUGGUGAACAGCAUAGUAGGGAUGGCUCACAGAAAAAAGAAGACAGUUUGCAAAAGAGCUAAACAGCCAAUUGGAUGAGCCAUUGAGCUCUGUGGGUACCAGGCUGAAGGGUGAUUCAGGCAAAAGGAACAGGAGGUACAAACAUCCUGAGGUGGAAUAUGCCUGAUGUUGUUUGGGAAGAACCAAGAGGCCAGUGAAAUUGGAUUGGAGGUCUUCCUUUAAGAUUACAGCCGGUGGGGAGUGGGGUCGACUCUGAGUUUAGAUUAUACCCUGGGAUGCUAGGUCUCAAGACUACAGAUUGUAUUUUAAAAUAAUCUAAAUAAAAUCGCAAAUGGC